rnacentral:rRNA from 1 species
GAUGAACGCUGGCGGCGUGCCUAAUACAUGCAAGUAGAACGCUGAAGGAAGGAGCUUGCUCUUUCCGGAUGAGUUGCGCACGGGUGAGUAACGCGUAGGUAACCUGCCUGGUAGCGGGGGAUAACUAUUGGAAACGAUAGCUAAUACCGCAUAACAGUAGAUGUUGCAUGAUAUCUACUUAAAAGGUGCAAUUGCACCACUACCAGAUGGACCUGCGUUGUAUUAGCUAGUUGGUGAGGUAACGGCUCACCAAGGCGACGAUACAUAGCCGACCUGAGAGGGUGGUCGGCCACACUGGGACUGAGACACGGCCCAGACUCCUACGGGAGGCAGCAGUAGGGAAUCUUCGGCAAUGGGCGGAAGUCUGACCGAGCAACGCCGCGUGAGUGAAGAAGGUUUUCGGAUCGUAAAGCUCUGUUGUAAGAGAAGAACGAGUGUGAGAGUGGAAAGUUCACACUGUGACGGUAUCUUACCAGAAAGGGACGGCUAACUACGUG